ACACAACUGGGGAAUCCGUGAGGGGAUGGGUAUAAUCCUUGAGCCUAAUUUCUUACCCCGGGAGUGGUUAUCGUAGCUUGGUGAGCAUGACCGCAAGACGGUAAGCCUGAAAACUACAAACCGCACCCACUUGAACCUCUGGUUCAAGGUCGAAGUCUCCCACGAUUUUUGGGGUGUGUC
rnacentral:other from 1 species